UACAGAGGUCUCGAGCGUUAGGCGGAAUCACUGGGCUUAAAGCGUGUGUAGGCGGAUCGUUAAGUACCUUGUGAAAAUCCCACGGCUUAACCGUGGAACUGCUUGGUAUACUGGCGGUCUUGAGCCAGCUAGGGGCUACCGGAACAAAUGGUGGAGCGGUGAAAAUGCGUAGAUAUCAUUUGGAACGCCAAUGGUGAAAACAGGUAGCUGGGGCUGUGCUGACGCUGAGACACGAAAGCCAGGGGAGCAAACGGG
rnacentral:rRNA from 1 species